rnacentral:rRNA from 1 species
UUUGACGUUAGCUGCAGAAGAAGCACCGGCUAACUCCGUGCCAGCAGCCGCGGUAAUACGGAGGGUGCGAGCGUUAAUCGGAAUUACUGGGCGUAAAGCGCAUGCAGGUGGUUUGUUAAGUCAGAUGUGAAAGCCCGGGGCUCAACCUCGGAAUUGCAUUUGAAACUGGCAGACUAGAGUACUGUAGAGGGGGGUAGAAUUUCAGGUGUAGCGGUGAAAUGCGUAGAGAUCUGAAGGAAUACCGGUGGCGAAGGCGGCCCCCUGGACAGAUACUGACACUCAGAUGCGAAAGCGUGGGGAGCAAACAGGAUUAGAUACCCUGGUAGUCCACGCCGUAAACGAUGUCUACUUGGAGGUUGUGGCCUUGAGCCGUGGCUUUCGGAGCUAACGCGUUAAGUAGACCGCCUGGGGAGUACGGUCGCAAGAUUAAAACUCAAAUGAAUUGACGGGGGCCCGCACAAGCGGUGGAGCAUGUGGUUUAAUUCGAUGCAACGCGAAGAACCUUACCUACUCUUGACAUCCAGAGAACUUUCCAGAGAUGGAUUGGUGCCUUCGGGAACUCUGAGACAGGUGCUGCAUGGCUGUCGUCAGCUCGUGUUGUGAAAUGUUGGGUUAAGUCCCGCAACGAGCGCAACCCUUAUCCUUGUUUGCCAGCGAGUAAUGUCGGGAACUCCAGGGAGACUGCCGGUGAUAAACCGGAGGAAGGUGGGGACGACGUCAAGUCAUCAUGGCCCUUACGAGUAGGGCUACACACGUGCUACAAUGGCGCAUACAGAGGGCAGCAAGCUAGCGAUAGUGAGCGAAUCCCAAAAAGUGCGUCGUAGUCCGGAUUGGAGUCUGCAACUCGACUCCAUGAAGUCGGAAUCGCUAGUAAUCGUGGAUCAGAAUGCCACGGUGAAUACGUUCCCGGGCCUUGUACACACCGCCCGUCACACCAUGGGAGUGGGCUGCAAAAGAAGUAGGUAGUUUAACCUUCGGGAGAACGCUUACCACUUUGUGGUUCAUGACUGGGGUGAAGUCGUAACAAGGUAGCCCUAGGGGAACCUGGGGCUGGAUCACCUCCUUAUACGAUGAU